rnacentral:rRNA from 1 species
UACGAGGGGCCCAAGCGUUAUUCGGAUUUACUGGGCUUAAAGCGUUCGUAGGCGGCUUGGUAAGUGGGGUGUGAAAGCCCUCGGCUCAACCGAGGAAUUGCGCUCCAAACUACCGAGCUUGAGUAGGCUAGAGGUGAGCAGAACUGAUGGUGGAGCGGUGAAAUGCGUUGAUAUCAUCAGGAAUACCGGAGGCGAAGGCGGCUCACUGGGACCUAACUGACGCUGAGGAACGAAAGCUAGGGGAGCAAACGGG